rnacentral:SRP_RNA from 1 species
GGUCAGGAUCCGCGCGACGCAACCCCGAAAACCCCGCCAGGGCCGGAAGGCAGCAGCGGUAUUGGGAGUUUGCGUGCGCCGCGGCCCUCCCUGACCGGA